UUACAUGAAGGAAAAGGGCUGCACA
rnacentral:piRNA from 1 species